CAGGGUGUAGCUCAGCUUGGUAGAGCGUGUGGUUUGGGUCCACAAGGUCGCAGGUUCGAAUCCUGUCACCCUGA
rnacentral:tRNA from 5 species